GAUCCCUAGGAGAAGCUGCUGGAAAGUCUCUCUGCCUGUGAUAUUCUGGAGCCGUAUCUCAGGAAGGAAGAAACGAGACUCACACAAGAAGAAGCCCAAGAUAUAAUCAGAAGCCUGAAGAAUCAGUAGAGAGGAUGAAACUGAACCCCUGGAAUGAGCAGAAAUGAUCACCAAUAAUAAUCAUGAAGUCUGAGCCUGAAGUUGUUCUACAUUGUUCAAAGAAAAGAAUAAAAGUAAUAAAUGAUAUGAUCUGAUCUA